rnacentral:rRNA from 1 species
GACGAACGCUGGCGGCGUGCUUAACACAUGCAAGUCGAACGGAAAGGCCCUGCUUUUGUGGGGUGCUCGAGUGGCGAACGGGUGAGUAACACGUGAGUAACCUGCCCUUGACUUUGGGAUAACUUCAGGAAACUGGGGCUAAUACCGGAUAGGAGCUCCUGCUGCAUGGUGGGUGUUGGAAAGUUUCGGCGGUUGGGGAUGGACUCGCGGCUUAUCAGCUUGUUGGUGGGGUAGUGGCUUACCAAGGCUUUGACGGGUAGCCGGCCUGAGAGGGUGACCGGCCACAUUGGGACUGAGAUACGGCCCAGACUCCUACGGGAGGCAGCAGUGGGGAAUAUUGCACAAUGGGCGGAAGCCUGAUGCAGCAACGCCGCGUGCGGGAUGACGGCCUGCGGGUUGUAAACCGCUUUCGCCUGUGACGAAGCGUGAGUGACGGUAAUGGGUAAAGAAGCACCGGCUAACUACGUG